GAGGUUCCGCUCUUGUUACCCAGCCUGGAGUCCAAUGGCGCGAUCUAGGCUCUCUGCAACCUCCGCCUCCCGGGUUCAAGCAAUUCCCCUGCCUCAGCCUCCCGAGCAGCUGGGACUACAGGCAUGUGCCACCACGCCCGGCUAAGUUUGUAUUUUUAGUACAGAUGGGGUUUCUCCACGUUGGUCAGGCUGGUCUCCAACUCCCGACCUCCGGUGAUCUGCCGAGCCGCCGCCUCCCAAAGUGUUGCUUGCGAUUACAGGCUUAAGCCACCGCUCACCCUGGCUUUUUUUUUUUUUUUUUUUUUUUUUUUUUUUACAGACAAACUCUUGCUCUGUCGCCCAGGCUGGAGUGCAGUGGCGCGAUCUCGGCUCACUGCAGCCUCUACCUCCCGGGUUCCAGCGAUUCUCCUGCCUCAGCCUCCUGGGUAGCUGGGAUUACAGGCGCAUGUGCCACCACGCCCGCUAAUUUUUGUAUUUUUAGAGGUCUCGCCAAGUUGGCCAGGCUGGUCUCGAACUCCUGACUUCAGGUGAUCUGCCCGCCUCGGCCUCCCAAAGCGCUGGGAUUACAGGCGUGAGCCACUGCGCUGGGCACUUUAAUUCUGUCUUUACUUUCUGAGAUAGUCUCGCUCGGACGCUCAGGUUGGACUGCAAUGGCGUGAUCUCAGCUCGCUGAAACUUCCACCUCCCGGAUUCAAGCGAUUCUCCCGUCUCAGCCUCCCGAGUAGCUGGGAUUAUUGACGCGCAGCACCACGCCCGGCUAAUUUUUGUGGUUUUUGUAUCUUCUGUCUUCUGCUCUUUAGUACCGCAUAGAGCC
rnacentral:lncRNA from 1 species